rnacentral:lncRNA from 1 species
CCGAAUUACCCGAAAAUUACCCGAAUUACCCGAAUUAAAUCACUACAUAAUUAUAAACAUUACAUAAAACUUUGAAUCACUACAUAACAAAUACAUGGAAUUGUCGACACUUGAUUCCAUCACUAAAAUACACAAUAGACAAACAAUGCGUCUAUGCCGGUGCAAUCUUCCGCAGUGAUCUGAUGGCCUGCUUUUAUGACCAAAGGGAAAUAAUUCAAACAAAAAUAAGAUUGCAUACAUAUACAUGCAUACAUAUACAUAUAUAAUCAUAAAAUAGUAGAUACAUAUAGGUGAAUGUACUAAAUUUUAAUUUAGUACUUAAAAUUUUUUAUUGAACAAUUAUUUCGUUUUAACUUACUUUAAAAAAUAAAACACUUAACACAUUUUUAUUGAAUGCGAAUAAUUUUUAAACAAAUAAUAAUUCAAAUACCAAAAUUAAAUUUUUUUAAAAAAACUACUACAAUCGUGAGUUAAAAGAAUAUCUAACUCAAAAAAUCUUAUCACUUUAGUAGUUAUAACUGUAGUGCUACCAUGGCCAUUUUGCACCAACUGCUGGGAUGUGUAGCCCACAACCAUGUUCCCUCACUUGCUAAAAAAAUUUAAAUUUAAACGGAUUCAAACUCGAGCUCAAAACUUUAAAUUGUUUUGAGGAGACAACUCUUUUAUUAAAAAAAAUUGAAGUGUCGUUUUUACAUAGACCUUCAACGAAGGUAUUGCUCUUGGAAUGUUUAUGUUUGGUUUAGGCUUUAGGUUUUUGUUCCAAAAGGAUUCAUAGAGAUUAGGCGCUUUCGCGAAACUCCAUAAGCUCCUUUGAUAAGGAGACAGGCAUCCUGAGCGCAAUACUUGUUCAAGAAUCUGAUCAAUUGCUUAACCGACAACACUUUAAAAUUUUCUCUUGAAAAAGAAAUGACGCUUAACAAGUUCAAUCUAUUUCCAACUCAAUAUAUUAAAUUCAUAAGACAAAAAAUUAUUAAAAAAAGAGAGAGUAGAAAAUAUAAAUUAGUGCCAAAUCCAAUUUUGUUUUUACAGUGACCAAAAUUUAUUACCCUGAAACCCCAAAUUAUUGAAAAGUAGAAAAACCAAAGGGUUUUUCAUUACACUGAUGAAAUAAUUAUUUGGCAUUUUUAUUUUUAUCCUCGACGAAAUCCGGAUCAUUUUCUUGAGAAAAUCGAAUACUAUAUUAGUCAACUACAGAUUCAAUAAUUAGAAAAAAAAACCAAUACUAUAUCAGUCAACUACAGACCCAUUCAAGAAAUUGGAAAAGAAAACCAAAAGGGAAAUUAGAAGAAAGUAAACCUGGCCCUGGGUUUGGGUAUUAAUGUGGUGGUCCGACACUCUGACUCGGGGACUCCGGCGAAAGAGAAAUAGUGUGUGAGUGAAAGUUUAAGUGUGUGAUUUAGGGUUUCGACUGAGAUUGAGAUUUGAGAAUACUAGGGUUGGGUGUUA